rnacentral:rRNA from 1 species
GACAACGCUGGCGGCGUGCUUAACACAUGCAAGUCGAACGGACCUUAUGGAAUAGGUAACUAGGAAAUAAGGUUAGUGGCGGACGGGUGAGUAACACGUGGAUAAUCUGCCUGACACACAGGGAUAACACUGUGAAAACGGUGCUAAUACCGGAUACGCUCUAUUGAUUGCAUAGUCGAUAGAGGAAAGGGGAACCCGGUGUCAGAUGAGUCCGCGGCUGAUUAGCUAGUUGGCAGGGUAACGGCCUACCAAGGCGACGAUCAGUAGCCGGCCUGAGAGGGUGAACGGCCACACUGGAACUGAGACACGGUCCAGACUCCUACGGGAGGCAGCAGUGGGGAAUCUUCCGCAAUGGGCGAAAGCCUGACGGAGCAACGCCGCGUGGGUGAAGAAGGCCUUCGGGUUGUAAAGCCCUGUCUUAUGGGAAGAAGAAAGUGACGGUACCAUAGGAGGAAGCCACGGCUAACUACGUG